rnacentral:rRNA from 1 species
GAUGAACGCUGGCGGCGUGCUUAACACAUGCAAGUCGAACGGGAUCCCAGGAGCUUGCUCCUGGGUGAGAGUGGCGAACGGGUGAGUAAUGCGUGACCGACCUGCCCCAUACACCGGAAUAGCUCCUGGAAACGGGUGGUAAUGCCAGAUGCUCCAGUUGGAUGCAUGUCCUUCUGGGAAAGAUUCUAUCGGUAUGGGAUGGGGUCGCGUCCUAUCAGCUUGAUGGCGGGGUAACGGCCCACCAUGGCUUCGACGGGUAGCCGGCCUGAGAGGGCGACCGGCCACAUUGGGACUGAGAUACGGCCCAGACUCCUACGGGAGGCAGCAGUGGGGAAUAUUGCACAAUGGGCGCAAGCCUGAUGCAGCGACGCCGCGUGCGGGAUGACGGCCUUCGGGUUGUAAACCGCUUUUGACUGGGAGCAAGCCCU